rnacentral:piRNA from 1 species
UGGCAGACUUGUAUCACCAACAGAUUCUUUUU